UACGUAGGGUGCGAGCGUUGCCCGGAUUUAUUGGGCGUAAAGGGCGCGUAGGCGGCCACGCACGUCCGUUGUGAAAUCGCCCGGCUCAACUGGGCGGGGUCAGCGGAUACGGUGUGGCUCGAGCAAGCUAGGGGGCAAUGGAAUUCCCGGUGUAGUGGUGGAAUGCGUAGAUAGUCGGGAGGAACACCAGUGGCGAAGGCGGUUGCCUGGAGCUUUGCUGACGCUGAGGCGCGAAAGCGUGGGGAGCGAUCCGG
rnacentral:rRNA from 1 species